rnacentral:misc_RNA from 1 species
GAAAUGCGAUACGUAGUGUGAAUUGCAGAAUUCCGUGAACCAUCGAAUCUUUGAACGCAAAUUGCGCCCGAGGCCUCGGCCGAGGGCAUGUCUGCCUCAGCGUCGGCGCACCCCCUCGCCCCCUCCCCCCGGGGAGUGGCGGCGGACCUGGCCUUCUCGCGUCGCCCCCCUCGGGGGUCGGCGCGGGUCGGCUGAAGCGUAGAGGCCUGAGCAGCGACCCCGCUUGCAAGGCGACGGCUUGGUAGGUAGGACCCCCUACUCCACUGCCGCCGCCCGAGGGCGUCCUGCUGGGGGCCAGUCGGGCUUCGGCCCACUUUACUCACAUUUCGACCUGAGCUCAGGCAAGGCUACCCGCUGAACUUAA